rnacentral:rRNA from 1 species
AACGGCCGCGGUAUUUUAACCGUGCGAAAGUAACGCAAUCACUUGUCUUUUAAAUAGAGACCUGUAUGAAUGGCAUAACGAGGGCUUAACUGUCUCCUUUAUCCUAUCAAUGAAAUUGAUUUCCUCGUGCAGAAGCGAGGAUGAAAACAUAAGACGAGAAGACCCUAUGGAUCUUUAGUCCAAGAACAGAACAUGUCCAUUCAUUAAUUUAAUAAGCGAAAAUAAUUGAAACCUGUUCUAGUGCCUUUGGUUGGGGCGACCACGGAGUAAAUAAAACCUCCAUGAGGAAUGAAGAAAUUUCUUCCUAUUUAAGGGUGACAACCCUAUGAAUCAGAACUUCUGACCACAUGACCCGGCAAAGCCGAUCAACGAACCGAGUUACCCUAGGGAUAACAGCGCAAUCCUCUUUUAGAGUCCAUAUCGACAAGAGGGUUUACGACCUCCAUGUUGGAUCAGGACAUCCUAAU